rnacentral:siRNA from 1 species
AAUCCAAAACAGCCAACAGUAAA